CCGCCCAUUCGCUCCCCCAGCCUCGCCCACACUGUCCCUCCGCCACGCCCCUGUCCGCCAAUGAAUGAGGCCGUUGGCCACCCUGCCCCGCCCCCGGCAUCUCGGCUUGGCCCAAUAAGGACCACCCGGAGGGUUUAACCGCUUCGCCUCCGGGGCUCUGGCCAAAUACCCCCGGUCUUUCCCCGCUCUUCCCCCUCCCCCACCUGUUCUGCUCCGCCCUCCGACACCCUCGCCUGGCCCUCCAGUCCGCCACGCAACUUCAGUCGUCGCCGGUUGCCAUGGCAACGGCGGCAGCAGCUCGGGGAGAAGGGGGAGGGACGGGGGCGGAGUGGGAGAGAGAGAUUCUCAGAGACAGACACCGGCAGAGACACCGGCGCGGAGUAAGACUCAGUGAUCGCUAGGAAGGCAAGAGUUAGCGCAAAGCACAGGGCCUGGCGCAGGGUGACCACAGCCAGGGAACCUACGGCUGACGGGCAGGCUAAGGGCAGGAGACAGGAGAAGCAAAGGAUCAGACCGACACUAAGGAGACCAGGCCAGAGUACAAAGGGAUCACUCCAGGGGGCACCUGUGGCCAAACCCAGCAUUAUCUCAGAUGUGAACCCCAAAACUAAAUCAUGACCCCCAAAUACAUCUUCUGAUCCUGUCACUCCAGGGCCUCCAGCCCGAGAUGAGGCCUGCCUAACCCCUCCCCACAAACUCAUGCCCUCCUCCCAGUGUAUAGCCCCCC